rnacentral:pre_miRNA from 1 species
CUCACCUUAGGAUCUUGUUAAAUAGCAGAUUCUGAUUCACGGGAUCAUGGAGAUUCUGCAUUUCUAACAAGCACUCAGGUGAUGUUGA